UUUUAUGACUUUUUUCUCUGUCUUAUCUUUAUAUUUUAAUGUUUCACUUACAGAUAACAGCAAUGAAAUCAAUUCUCCAGCCAGCUGGCGUUUUGAGCGGCUUGAACUUUAUUUUGAGUGAGGACAUUGUUCUGGCAUAUAACGUCGAUGGGGUCCAAGGGAGGAAGGCCCUUAGGACCCACAAAAAAUUUUUUGCAGCUUUGCUAGAAUGUAUUCCGCCUGGCGAUGAGCCCCCCGAAAACACUGUACGGAAGGCAAUGCAAAGGAUGAAGAAAAGGGUGUUUAAAAAGAAGUGUCUUGCCAAAAACCAGGAGUAGGCUAAGCAUCAUAUAAUUAAACCUCCUGAAGGGUAAUCGAGCGGGAACCAGGGAGGUGAGAAUGGUAGCUAGUGCGGCACCAGUGCGGAACUAGUUGCCUGGUACUAGAGGGUUCCUUCUGGACGCUACACACAUCCAUAUUCACCGCAAAUCGCAUAUACCCCAAUACCCAUUUUGAGUAUCGUGUAUAAAAAGCAACAAUGCCAAAGCACGACCAGUUCGCGGAAGCCGAAGCCAAAGCCACAGCCGAAGCCGAAACCAGUUCGUCGUCAUCAUCAUCAUCGGGUUUCGCCGCUGGCUGGCUGGCAUGCAUUCAGUUGAGCUUUGACUGCCAAGCCGAUAACAACGACGACGUGCGCCCCCGUCCGAACUGUUGCCAGAGUAGUGUCCGUCAGAAGUAGUUCGUGUCCGCGGUAGUACGGAAAGCAAAAGAAGCAACAGCCACGGAAGCCACAGCCGCCGCAAGCCGCAGCCAAAACAAAAUCAAGAAAACACGUUUUUAACUCCCGCACAUUUAAAAACGUGUUUUCGGGGGGCUCAUCGCCAGGAGGACCCCAUCGACGUUAUAUGCCAGAACAAUGUCCUCACUCAAAAUAAAGUUCAAGCCGCUCAAAACGCCAGCUGGCUGGAGAAUUGAUUUCAUUGCUGUUAUCUGGUCGUUGUGUUUUUUGUUCGCUGUUUACGGGUGCCAAUUCAAGCGCGACAAAAGACAAGAAGCUGGAGCCAGAGCCAAAGCCAACCCCAACUGUUCGGAGCAGCACCCAGCCGAUUAGCUGCUUGCCAAAUAGCACCUAAUU